ACUCAAAUGAAUUGACGGGGGCCCGCACAAGCGGUGGAGCAUGUGGUUUAAUUCGACGCGACGCGCAGAACCUUACCUGGGCUAGAAAACACAGGAACCCGGGUGAAAACUCGGGGUGCUCUUCGGAGAAUCUGUGGUUAGGUGUUGCAUGGCUGUCGUCAGCUCGUGUCGUGAGAUGUUGGGUUAAGUCCCGCAACGAGCGCAACCCUUGUCGUUAGUUGCUACCAUUCAGUUGAGCACUCUAACGAGACUGCCGACCUUCAAGUCGGAGGAAGGUGGGGAUGACGUCAAGUCCUCAUGGCCCCUAUGUCCAGGGCUACACACGUGCUACAAUGGUCGGUACAAAGGGCUGCUAAGCCGCGAGGUGGAGCUAAUCCCAAAAAACCGACCUCAGUACGGAUUGGAGUCUGCAACUCGACUCCAUGAAGGCGGAAUCGCUAGUAAUCCCUGAUCAGCAUGGCAGGGGUGAAUACGUUCCCGGGCCUUGUACACACCGCCCGU
rnacentral:rRNA from 1 species